UCCCUGCUGGUUGAGUGAUUAAAACUCUGCACUUCCAUUGCAGGGGUCAUGGGUUCAAUCCCUGGUUGUGAA
rfam:TPA: Bos taurus chromosome 7, whole genome shotgun sequence.